rnacentral:rRNA from 1 species
GACGAACGCUGGCGGCGUGCCUAAUACAUGCAAGUCGAGCGGAAUGAUGAAGAAGCUUGCUUCUUCUGAUUUUAGCGGCGGACGGGUGAGUAACACGUGGGCAACCUACCUUGUAGAUUGGGAUAACUCCGGGAAACCGGGGCUAAUACCGAAUAAUCCAUUUUGCUUCAUGGCGAGAUGUUAAAAGGCGGCUUUGGCUGUCACUACGAGAUGGGCCCGCGGCGCAUUAGCUAGUUGGUAGGGUAAUGGCCUACCAAGGCGACGAUGCGUAGCCGACCUGAGAGGGUGAUCGGCCACACUGGGACUGAGACACGGCCCAGACUCCUACGGGAGGCAGCAGUAGGGAAUCUUCCACAAUGGACGAAAGUCUGAUGGAGCAACGCCGCGUGAGUGAAGAAGGUUUUCGGAUCGUAAAACUCUGUUGUAAGGGAAGAACACGUACGAGAGUAACUGCUCGUACCUUGACGGUACCUUAUUAGAAAGCCACGGCUAACUACGUG